rnacentral:snoRNA from 1 species
UGCCCAAGGAAACCGGGGGAGAUGAGCUGGAGGCGAGCUGUGAAUCUCCUUCGCUCCCUUGGGCUACA